UUUAUGNAACUGAUCAGUUCACCUGGAAACACAAACAAAGAUCAGUUCAAUGAGGGAUUAGGAAAGGUCCAGUUUUAUGGGGUGAUGAUAAAAGCCAUGAAGCCUCCUAAAACUUUGAAUGGAGUGGAUCAUGUCACAGCUGUGUUCCAAGCCCUGCCAAUCCUCUUCCCGUCCAGCAUCCCGCCACCUAAGAAGCUGGGCUUAAGCAGUGAGGCUCUUUUCCAUGUCCUUACGACUUCAGAGGAUCCUGAUAGUUUCCUGCGCCAGCGACCAAUGUCUUGUUUCUGAGAACAACUGCAUGAUCGCCAUUGGAAACAGGCCAGUGACCUUCAGCAUUGAGAGGUUUAAUGAGGGACUUCUCUACCUCAUGUCAUAUUAAUAUGCCUUGCACCUCACUUACCCAAAAUCUAUUUCCACACUUCUGUCAGGACUGAAAACAGAAAUUCUCCAUGAUUCCAUUCAUGAGCAAGAUUUUACCCUUUCGUACAAAGAAGCCAUUGGCGAGUGGAAGUCGUUCAUUGAGUGAGUGAGUCUCUUCAAUCUGCCCCACUCUCUGUCUCAUGUGAAACUUUCAGAGAGUCUGUUUCAGAAAUGGUUUGUCGCAUUUGUUGUUGAAAUGGAAAAAUGUUCCAGUUGGAUAUUGUGCAAAAACGGCAGCUGCAAAUAUAUGUUUGUCAUGAUGCUUUUAAGGGAUCUGACCCACAUGCAGAAAACACUCAGAGAACCAAG